rnacentral:rRNA from 1 species
UUGCUCCUGGAUUAGUGGCGAACGGGUGAGUAACGCGUGAGUAACCUGCCCUUAACUCUGGGAUAAGCCUGGGAAACUGGGUCUAAUACCGGAUAUGACUCCUCAUCGCAUGGUGGGGGGUGGAAAGCUUUAUUGUGGUUUUGGAUGGACUCGCGGCCUAUCAGCUUGUUGGUGAGGUAAUGGCUUACCAAGGCGACGACGGGUAGCCGGCCUGAGAGGGUGACCGGCCACACUGGGACUGAGACACGGCCCAGACUCCUACGGGAGGCAGCAGUGGGGAAUAUUGCACAAUGGGCGCAAGCCUGAUGCAGCGACGCCGCGUGAGGGAUGACGGCCUUCGGGUUGUAAACCUCUUUCAGUAGGGAAGAAGCGAAAGUGACGGUACCUGCAGAAGAAGCGCCGGCUAACUACGUGCCAGCAGCCGCGGUAAUACGUAGGGCGCAAGCGUUAUCCGGAAUUAUUGGGCGUAAAGAGCUCGUAGGCGGUUUGUCGCGUCUGCCGUGAAAGUCCGGGGCUCAACUCCGGAUCUGCGGUGGGUACGGGCAGACUAGAGUGAUGUAGGGGAGACUGGAAUUCCUGGUGUAGCGGUGAAAUGCGCAGAUAUCAGGAGGAACACCGAUGGCGAAGGCAGGUCUCUGGGCAUUAACUGACGCUGAGGAGCGAAAGCAUGGGGAGCGAACAGGAUUAGAUACCCUGGUAGUCCAUGCCGUAAACGUUGGGCACUAGGUGUGGGGGACAUUCCACGUUUU